GAUGAACGCUAGCUACAGACUUAACACAUGCAAGUCGAGGGGCAGCAUGGCGGAAGCUUGCUUCCGCUGAUGGCGACCGGCGCACGGGUGAGUAACGCGUAUCCAACCUUCCCCCUGGUAGGGCAUAGCCCGUAGAAAUGCGGAUUAACACCCUAUGUUGUGCAUUGAGGACAUCUGAGGAGCACUAAAGUUUGACGCCAUGGGAUGGGGAUGCGUCCGAUUAGCUUGACGGCGGGGUAACGGCCCACCGUGGCUACGAUCGGUAGGGGUUCUGAGAGGAAGGUCCCCCACACUGGAACUGAGACACGGUCCAGACUCC
rnacentral:rRNA from 1 species